GACGAACGCUGGCGGUGUGCUUAACGCAUGCAAGUCGAACGGAAAGGCCCUGCUUUUGUGGGGUGCUCGAGUGGCGAACGGGUGAGUAACACGUGAGUAACCUGCCCUUGACUUUGGGAUAACUUCAGGAAACUGGGGCUAAUACCGGAUAGGAGCUCCUGCUGCAUGGUGGGGGUUGGAAAGUUUCGGCGGUUGGGGGUGGACUCGCGGCUUAUCAGCUUGUUGGUGGGGUAGUGGCUUACCAAGGCUUUGACGGGUAGCCGGCCUGAGAGGGUGACCGGCCACAUUGGGACUGAGAUACGGCCCAGACUCCUACGGGAGGCAGCAGUGGGGAAUAUUGCACAAUGGGCGGAAGCCUGAUGCAGCAACGCCGCGUGCGGGAUGACGGCCUUCGGGUUGUAAACCGCUUUCGCCUGUGACGAAGCGUGAGUGACGGUAAUGGGUAAAGAAGCACCGGCUAACUACGUG
rnacentral:rRNA from 1 species